ACCAGAAGAGGGGGGAACUCGCAACAGAGGCAGCAACAAGGGGUGCAGCGAGCAUGAAAAUGCUGGAAAAGGAACGGGCCACGACAUGGACGCGGUCGAGCAUGGCGUCGGCGAGGCCGCGGACGAGGGGGGUGGCGCCGGGGCCGGAGGUGCGGAGGAGGUGGGAGCGCGGCAGGUCAACAGUGGUGUAUGGAAGGACAACAGUGAGAGGAGGGGCAGUGGUGGUGGACUCGAAUAAAUUUUAAGAGUCUGUGGAUCAUUUGUUUAUUCAUUGUCCGGCAGCAUCUCGGUUGUGGCGCUUAUUUUUUCAACGUUUGGUGUUGUGUGGGUCCAGCAGAAGGGGGUGCUAGAGGUUCUCUUUAUCUGGGGAGGGGGUCUGGUUGGGAAGCAGCAUAAGAGGGCUUGGGGUUAGGCUUUGGCCCCUUUGUGCUUAAUGUGGUUGGUUUGGUUAGAGUGGAAUUGUUGUACCUUUCAGGAGGUUGCUCGUUCGUUGUCAUGGUUAGAGCACAAGUUGUUUGAGGUUCUGUAUAGUUGGGUGUCGGGAGGGUGAACCCGGAUUUGUGUGCUUUCAUGGAUUUUGUAGAUGAUUUGAUUUGUCAGGUGUUUUCCUUUUUUGGGGGCUCUUUCUUUUGUAUUUUUCAGCAUCUUCUUGACGCUCUUGGUAAUAAAUCUUAUUUGUCAAAAAAAAAAAAACUCUGAACAUGUUAUUUUCCUCUAGUAGUAUGUAUGGAGUUGUUCACUGGAGAAGGUGCUAGACUAUGAAAGAGUGGUUGGACUGAACUGCAUUCUAUAAUAGAAUUUCUAUUUACUAGCUUGCUUGCCCUGUCUUAUGAAGUUUUGAAUGCCUUACUUUCCUCAAAAUGUCCAGAUCGACUGUGAAUUUGAUCGUCUUAAUUUAAUGCCAAUUUGGUUUAGACUAUUGUGAUGAGCAUGACUGAUUGUUCGUACUCCAUGGGAUUCCCCUUUGGACCACUAGUUGAAAGGAAGUUUUAGAAGGCUCCCAAAAAGAAAAAAACAUCCUGCUCUCCAAAUUUGAUGUCUAAUAGAGAGAAAAUAAGGGUUUGUUGGGCUGAUAGUGGUAUCAGUUUUUGUUAUCUGUAUGCUUAACCUUAACCAACACCAAAACAAAAAAAAAACAAACAAACAAACAAAGCAACAGAAGAUUAAAAUGGCAAUUUCUAAAGUUGACAUUGAGGGGUAUGACUUGAUGUGUUGAAACUUCUUCAGUUUCAGUGAUAACAGCUUUAUCAUGCCCCAUCAGAGAAGACAUCAGGUCAUUUGCCCAAUGAAAAAAGGACAAACAAAAGAAGGGGACAAAAUUAUGUUGGUCUAUGAAUUUUAUUAUCAAAGAUUCCCAGUAUCUGGUUGUUCCAAGUUCCUACUGAAAAAAGGUACAUUUAAAAUUUAGAAAGUAUGCUUUUCUAAAUAAUGCCCCCAACGACGGGGAAAGGAAAACUUAUUGCAAAUAAUGACCCAGUGAGGGGAAAGGAAGACUUGCUGUAAAUGAUGACUGUGGAAUUAGCAUCAACUGACUCUGGAAUUCCAUGUCUUCUUUAUUGACACUACCAAGUCCAACGGAAGAAUCAUUGUGCUGCAAAGUGUUCAUUUAUAAAUGGAAUAAAUAACGGAAUAACAGAGGAAUUCCAUGAAUUGGACAUUAGCCCAUCAAUGGAAGUCCUCAAAAUACCUUUCUUGUUUUUGUUCAGUAUAUAGCGUCGUUUAGUGUUAAUCUUGUAAAGACAGAGCUGUUGUAUGGUUCAUAGAUAUAUAUCAAUCUAUUGUUGUUGAA